UCCUCAUUAGUAUAGUGGUGAGUAUCCCUGCCUGUGAUGCAGGAGACCUGCGUUCUUUUCCUUGAUGGGGAG
rnacentral:tRNA from 1 species